rnacentral:tRNA from 1 species
ACCUGGCCGGCUCAGUCGAUAGAGCAUGAGACUCUUGAUCUCAGAGUUGUGAGUUUGAGCCCCAUGCUGGGUG